AGCCNGGUGCUUGCACCGGGUGGANGAGUGGCGAACGGGUGAGUAACACGUGAGUAACCUGCCCCUGACUUCGGGAUAAGCCCGGGAAACUGGGUCUAAUACCGKAUACGACCGUCGGACGCAUGUCUGGUGGUGGAAAGUUUUUUCGGUUGGGGAUGGGCUCGCGGCCUAUCAGUUUGUUGGUGAGGUAAUGGCUCACCAAGACGACGACGGGUAGCCGGCCUGAGAGGGCGACCGGCCACACUGGGACUGAGACACGGCCCAGACUCCUACGGGAGGCAGCAGUGGGGAAUAUUGCACAAUGGGGGAAACCCUGAUGCAGCGACGCAGCGUGCGGGAUGACGGCCUUCGGGUUGUAAACCGCUUUCAGCAGGGAAGAAGCGCAAGUGACGGUACCUGCAGAAGAAGUACCGGCUAACUACGUGCCAGCAGCCGCGGUAAUACGUAGGGUACGAGCGUUGUCCGGAAUUAUUGGGCGUAAAGAGCUCGUAGGUGGUUGGUCACGUCUGCUGUGGAAACGCAACGCUUAACGUUGCGCGUGCAGUGGGUACGGGCUGACUAGAGUGCAGUAGGGGAGUCUGGAAUUCCUGGUGUAGCGGUGAAAUGCGCAGAUAUCAGGAGGAACACCGGUGGCGAANGCGGGACUCUGGGCUGUAACUGACACUGAGGAGCGAAAGCAUGGGGAGCGAACAGGAUUAGAUACCCUGGUAGUCCAUGCCGUAAACGUUGGGCACUAGGUGUGGGGGGCAUUCCACGUUCUCCGCGCCGUANCUAACGCAUUAAGUGNCCCGCCUGGGGAGUACGGUCGCAAGGCUAAAACUCAAAGGAAUUGACGGGGGNCCGCACAAGCGGCGGANCAUGCGGAUUAAUUC
rnacentral:rRNA from 1 species